ACGAACGCUGGCGGCGUGCCUAACACAUGCAAGUCGAACGGAAAGGCCCUGCUUUUGUGGGGUGCUCGAGUGGCGAACGGGUGAGUAACACGUGAGUAACCUGCCCUUGACUUUGGGAUAACUUCAGGAAACUGGGGCUAAUACCGGAUAGGAGCUCCUGCUGCAUGGUGGGGGUUGGAAAGUUACGGCGGUUGGGGAUGGACUCGCGGCUUAUCAGCUUGUUGGUGGGGUAGUGGCUUACCAAGGCUUUGACGGGUAGCCGGCCUGAGAGGGUGACCGGCCACAUUGGGACUGAGAUACGGCCCAGACUCCUACGGGAGGCAGCAGUGGGGAAUAUUGCACAAUGGGCGGAAGCCUGAUGCAGCAACGCCGCGUGCGGGAUGACGGCCUUCGGGUUGUAAACCGCUUUCGCCUGUGACGAAGCGUGAGUGACGGUAAUGGGUAAAGAAGCACCGGCUAACUACGUG
rnacentral:rRNA from 1 species